ACCUCACGAGCCAAUCAGAGUACACCAUUUACGUAAGGGGCGGGACUAGUGGUGCAGGUUAGUGUGGGGUGAAGGUGAACAUGCAGCAUGAGAGACGCAGACGCUAUCGAUCAGAGAGCUGAGACGGAGAUAAUCUGAGUUGGGAGCAGUUAAGUUAUAUCGUGAAGGUCGACUACUCGUGGUCCUGAUUUAAACUUCUGUGACCUGCAAGAGGACGGACGUUGGAGAGAGAGAGGUUGAGACGGGUUUUCCAACAGACAGCCCUGCUGUUUUUUCUUCUUCUUUGAACUUCGCUGUUGUGCGCCAUUGCCCUCAUGAGACUGCAUUGUUUGUCCCCACCUAUCCAUACUAAUCCAACUGGAAGUUUGUGAGUACUAACUGAACACUUGUGCACGUGCUUUUUAUUUUAAGCUCAGUUGAGUGAAGCGGCCAUCACCGUUUUUAGGCCACACCGCACCCAAGCUACAUUCAACAGGCCUGCAAUGGGUUAAGGUUUUGAAUACCAGGUUGUGCAAUGUUGUGUUUCAUGUGAGUGUGAGUGGGCC